rnacentral:tRNA from 2 species
GGCGGGAUAGCUCAGUUGGUUAGAGCGGGGGACUCAUAAGCCCCAGGUCACUGGUUCGAUCCCAGUUCCCGUCA